GACGAACGCUGGCGGCGUGCUUAACACAUGCAAGUCGAACGGAAAGGCCCUGCUUGCAGGGUACUCGAGUGGCGAACGGGUGAGUAACACGUGGGUGAUCUGCCCUGCACUUCGGGAUAAGCCUGGGAAACUGGGUCUAAUACCGGAUAGGAGCCAUUUUUGGGUGGUGGGUGGGAAGGUUUUUUCGGUGUAGGAUGAGCUGGCGGCCUAUCAGCUUGUUGGUGGGGUAAUGGCCUACCAAGGCGGCGACGGGUAGCCGGCCUGAGAGGGUGGACGGCCACAUUGGGACUGAGAUACGGCCCAGACUCCUACGGGAGGCAGCAGUGGGGAAUAUUGCACAAUGGGCGCAAGCCUGAUGCAGCGACGCCGCGUGGGGGAUGACGGCCUUCGGGUUGUAAACUCCUUUCGCUAGGGACGAAGCUUUUUGUGACGGUACCUAGAUAAGAAGCACCGGCUAACUACGUG
rnacentral:rRNA from 1 species